rnacentral:lncRNA from 1 species
UUUUUUUUAAGACUUCUUCGGAGACGUUUAGGAAGAGCAAAUACUCUGGCAGGAGGUGUUCUGCCCACUGAGACCAAGCCCAGGAACACUGAGAGAAAAAUUACCCUGACGCGGCUUCCGAAACAGAACUAAUCCUGUAGACACAUGCAUUUAGGUUUUGUCUCAGCUUACUAACAAUGGCAGAGGCUACACCGCUUGGCCCGUUUUGAUGUUCUGCUCUCCCUUUGUAGAAGGAGGAUAAAGACCGACAGCUGCAGGAGUGCCUGGAGCUGGCAGACCAGAAGCUGCAGCAGAUGCUGACAGAAGUGGUGGCUGAGCUGGCUCAGCAGGUGGCUGCGCUCUCCAAGGCAAAGCAAAGAGCAAAAAUGAAUGAAGAACACAACGAACACUCAUCAGAUACCGUGGAUCAGCUUCUGUCUGUUUCAGAUGAGAGGCUUCAGCUUCAUCUGAAGGAGAGAAUGGCUGCUCUGGAGGAUAAGGUGCAGCCCCUGAAAGAUCAGGACCAGGAGCGCGGGCAGCAAGCCAGCGUGCUGGCCAACAUGGGCCAGCUGUUCAAGAGUGACAAGGGCGUGUCAGACAGCGAGGGCGACGGGGUCAUCCUCUUCAGCGUGCCCGCUCUGCUGUCGCCCAUCGGGCAGGCCGAUGCCGAGACUCUGGCCAUGAGGAUUCAGGAGCAGCUGGACAAGAUCAACGAAGAGAUCUGGUUGAUUCAAAAAGACAAGGAGAACACGGAUCAGCGGGCGGAGGGGAUUGAGAGCAGGGUGGGCAGUGGGAACUUCAGCAACCUUCGGCGCUUUAAGUCCUCCAACUCCCUCAACCUGGAUCCCGCCUCCUCGCAUGCCGGCUCCUUCCCGCCCAGCAGAGGGCGCUCCAUGCCCGAAAGGAGGCAGCCCAGCCCUGAGCGAGAAGACAAGCUGGGCUUCAUGACUCUGGUAUGUGUCUGCCUCCUCCCUGCCACGUCCCUCCCGAGCACACUGGUUUUCUUUUGUUUGUUUUUUUCUCUUUUUACCCAGAAGAAAAUCAGGCACAUUUGCUACGCUCAGAGGUCUAAGAUUUUUUAAAACUGCCUAGUCUUGAAUCGGGCUUCCCUAGUGCCUCAGACGGUAAAGCGUCUGUGUGCAAUGCAGGAGACCCGGGUUCGAUCCCUGGGUUGGAAGAUCCCCUGGAGAAGGAAAUGGCAGCCCACUCCAGUAUUCUCUGCCUGGAAAAUCCCAUGGACCGCUGAAGCCUGGUAGGCCACUGUCCAUGGGGCCGCAAAGAGUCGGACACGACUGAGCGAAAUCAUUCCAUAAUCACACAGCGACAAAUGAGUCUUGAUAUUUGGACCCCUGGCUUAGGAAUCUCAAGUGGUCUGCUCGCUGAUGGGCCUGGCCGCGCGCUCAGGCCAGCUCUGCGUGUGAAACCAGGUUAAAAGCCC